GGGCGCGUGCGCUCGAGCGCGGCGGCGAGCAACGGGGUUGAGCUGCGCGGCGCGGAGCUCCAGCGCGGCGGUGACAGCGGCCAUGGCCGGCUUGGGCCGGCACGGCCCUCCUCCCUCCCCCUUCCUUGGCCGGCGCGACCAUCCGCAGCAGGCCUCCCUCUCCCUCCCUGGCCGGUGCGCAGAGAUGCUGCGGCGAGUUGGGGUUGGCUAGCCACGUGGACGCCGGAGCCACAAGAACGACCGGCCGGACAGCGACUAGCUCAGGUGCCUCAUAAGAUCCGCUCCAUCCCACGGCGCGCGUGGUGACGACCGCAGCACCUCCUAUGCUCGUCGGAGUCGGCCGACGAUGCCAACCACACGCGCCGUCUUAUGGCUAUGGCCGCGGUGGCUGUCAAGCGCGCCGGUUGCGUCAUUCGGCCGCCGCCCUCACACGCGCCGGUUGCGGCCUCCAGCGGCCGCCGUGCCUCGCGGCCGGAGCCUCACAACAGCCGGCCCAGCGGCCGCUGCCUCACAAGAUCCGCUCCAUCCCUCGCGGAUCCGCCCACUAUCGCGCGCGUUCUUCUCCUCCGUCGCCCGCCCACCCGUCCGAUCCGCUCCAUCCCUCGCGGAGGCCGGCGGAGGCUGCAACCGGUUCCGGGAAGGCGGAAGCCGUGGAUCCGCCCCUGUUCUGCGUCCGCCAGAUCCUCCGACCACUAUCCUAGUCAGGUUCACCGUCCACCAGUGAUUUUUGGUUGCUUGCUCCGCCACCUGAUAGGCCACUGCUCCUAUCAGUUAAAGGUCCCUUGUACGAUGACAGAGAAUAUAAAGUUGAAGCUUCAAAGGAUGGUUAUCAUCUCAAGCGAACUGGCCCAUACACAUUUGCUUGUCACAAGCUUGGUCAGAUAUCAGUCCGGAUUUAUGGUGAAAAUUCGGAGCUGCUACCAUCAGUAUUAUUAUCCUUGGGUGGUGAGGAAGGGAAUCACGCUGUUGGCUGUACCUGAACAGGAGAUUUGUCUACUGAAUCAUCCAUCUGGAUCAGGUGGAUUUGGUGACCGAGACGGACAAGACCUGCGAGGACUUUGUCUUCAACCACCUCCGGAAGCACUUCCCGGAGCACAAGUUCAUCGGGGAGGAGACGUCCGCAGCGCUCGGCGCCACCGCCGGCCACACAGACGAACCUACCUGGAUCGUCGAUCCCCUCGAUGGCACCACCAAUUUCGUCCACGGCUUCCCCUUUGUGUGCGUCUCAAUUGGCCUCACCAUUUGGAAAAUUCCCACCGUUGGAGUCGUUUACAGCCCAAUCAUGAAUGAGGUUUUCACUGCAAUUCGUAGAAAAGGUGCUUUCUGAAUGACUCUCCAAUCAAAGCAUCAUCUCAAAAUGAAUUAGCGAAGGCUCUUCAGAACAUAUGUGCAUUCCAUAUGAUUUGCUUCUCUUGCAAAAAUGAGACAUCACAGGAUUGGAGAUGACGAAGAGUGAGAUAUAUAUUCAUUUGCAGAUUUGCAGUAAAGGCACAGCCAUCUAGAGAAAACUUGAAACAGGUCUAUGGUUUCCUCACCUUGAUACAGCUGUUGCAUACCCGCGCCAGUGUGCCGUAGACUUCCAAGAUUACCACCGUAAUGCCGUCCAACCUCUGGUUCUCCUAAAAUUGUAAUGUAACUUUUAUGAUGUUUAGAAAACAAUCAUAUUACUGAUUGGGAUAUACACAUAUGCAGUUUGAUGUUUGCACCUUCAUGUACCUUUUAGACAGUUGGUUCAACAGACCAAUGCAAACAUUACCACAAAAAAGGAUUCAUUUUCCAACAAAAGGUAUUUCCCAAUGUCUUUAUCCCAAACACAUAAUUAUAGCAGCAGAUAAGGGAAAAGGGAGGUUGCUGAUAACCACUUUCAGUUUGUGAAAAUCAGUAUUCAUGUCCACCUUUAUUAAACUAUAACCCCACCCAUUUGAGUUUACCUAUCAUCUCUGAUCUAAACUCUUUACCUAGAUUUAUUUUAUUACCCUUAGUUUUCAUUGACUGGGCGGUACUAUUUGUCCUACUAAUUCUGAAAAGGCCAAGUUAGAAUGGAUAAGGUAAUAUCUUUCCUGAUCUUUGUACAAGUCAGAGGUUCCUACUGCUAAUGCAUUGACGCUGUAUAACGCUGCAUUCCCUUGUAUUGUGUAAUAGGACAACUGUGCCUGCAGUCCCUCUGAACAUGUAUCUUAAAACAGCGGUUUCAUGUUAUAAUGUGUACUCACCCAGGACGUUAUACUUA